AGGAAGGUGAGAGCAUGUAUUGAUUUGCAUUCAACUUAGAUCUAGAGAUAAUGGAACUGAGCUACAGUGAUUGGGGAAACCUAAGAUCUGAGGUGUUUGUGAUAUAAUCAAGGAAGUCCAAAAGGGCGGAUCAGAUAACUAAGAUCUGAGGUAUUUGUGAUCCAAUCAAGGAGGUCCAAAAGGGCGGAUCAGAUAACUACUCCCAUUGUUAGAAAGUAUAAACACAGAGACACACGCUGUGUUCAGUCUCUUUUUCCUCUGGCUGGCACACGUGCAGGUAAAUUCGGGAUCCCAAAGUGGUGACCUCGACGUGCCAGAUAUAACGAAGCUGAAGAAGAAUCCAGACGACCGGAAUGGGUCGGGAACAAACGCUUUCAAACAUCUCAGACAAUCGGCAGGGCCCUGCACAACUCUACAAAUAAAGGUACGCAGACGCCUGUUAUGAAAAUCGACUGUCUGUAAUUGGAUACGCUAAAACUUUAGGAUUGUCUGUAGGCGUUUCACAGUGUUUUUAAAGUUUAAAUGGAAUAUACAAUGCAUAUUUUACUAUGUUAGGAAAGUUAUAUACAAAACGUAAACGUUUAUCGCCAGGUAGACGGAAAGUCCUGCAUAACGUAAAUAGAGCAGUUUGGCGCGGAUCUACAGGUAGUUUAUUCCUGAGUGGCGUGGAGACGGUGCAGUUUGUUGUUGCGAGGUUCGAUUCCUGCACGACAAAACCUGGAAACUCGAUCUUUUAGAUCGGGUCGCCGUUUAAAACUGGGGUUAAAUAACAGACCAAGCAGUUUGGCGCGGAUCUACAGGUAGUUUAUUCCUGAGUGGCGUGGAGACGGUGCAGUUUGUUGGUUGCGAGGUUCGAUUCCUGCACGACAAAACCUGGAAACUCGAUAUUUUAGAUCGGGUCGCCGUUUAAAACUGGGGUUAAAUAACAGACCAAGGCUGAAAGCUAAAAGCCAGAGGUCUGUUAUAUGUUAAAUCGAGGGAGAGCGUUUCCCUUUGUCUGUAAACUUAAUUUGAAAAGCUAACGUGUGAAAUAAACAUCACAUUAUAAAAGCUGGACAAACUGUACGGCGAAUACAUCUGUGUGAUUUUUACCUGAAAUACCUGUGUGAGCAAUUGUCUGCGGGGCUCAAAAAGGCACUCAGAAGAGUGAAGCUCAUUUGUGGUCUGCUGCUGCCAUUUAGUGGCUGAAAGGGGGUAUCACACCCUUGACAUUUUUAUAUGGUUUAGCUUCGAGCUUAGACUUUAAUCAUUACAUUGCUGGCCGGUAUUGAAGACGGGAAGCACGUUAAUAGUAACAACGACAAUAGCCCAGUAUAUUAAUACAAGUGAACACAUAUUAAUUAAGUCAGAUAA